rnacentral:rRNA from 1 species
UACGGAGGAUCCGAGCGUUAUCCGGAUUUAUUGGGUUUAAAGGGUGCGUAGGUGGUUUGAUAAGUCAGCGGUGAAAGUUUGCAGCUUAACUGUAAAAAUGCCGUUGAAACUGUCGGACUUGAGUGUAAAUGAGGUAGGCGGAAUGCGUGGUGUAGCGGUGAAAUGCAUAGAUAUCACGCAGAACUCCGAUUGCGAAGGCAGCUUACUAAGCUACAACUGACACUGAAGCACGAAAGCGUGGGGAUCAAACAGGAUUAGAUACCCGU